rnacentral:rRNA from 1 species
AUGUUUCUCAUAUCAAAUUCGGUGAUAGUACCAUGCGAUGCUAAGGCGAUGAAUCGAUGUACCUGCAGGUUGGAAUCUCCAAAUUUUAGCAGAUGCCUCAUCAAUCUCCACGGCUGGGGCUUGGAGGAGAGGGGGCGAGACUUGCCCGCGCUGACGGAGACGAGGAAGGAGCAGAGGAGGUGGAGGGGGAGAGAUCUGGAUGUGCGUCAGGGGCAGCAAUUACGCCCCAGAGCAGAGUUUGUGUUCAUGGAUCCGCUGAUAAUAUAUAUCCCGGAAGUAAAUAUUGUUGCUUGCUUCAUCUCUACUACUUCCUGUACCUGCUUAGAGUUAACUCUGCGUAUGUGGGUUGUGGGGUGGAGUUGUGAACAUUUGCUGCUAACUGUUAGCAUAUGCCCCACCUGGAGACGCCAAGCACAUCUGAUUGUGGUUCUCAGCAGAUUGCCGAUGCCAUGUUGCCAAUGA